rnacentral:rRNA from 1 species
UACGAAGGGGGCUAGCGUUGUUCGGAAUUACUGGGCGUAAAGCGCGCGUAGGCGGAUUUGCCAGUCAGGGGUGAAAUGCCAGGGCUUAACCUUGGAACUGCCUUUGAUACUGCAAGUCUGGAGUACGGGAGAGGUGAGUGGAAUUCCGAGUGUAGAGGUGAAAUUCGUAGAUAUUCGGAGGAACACCAGAAGCGAAGGCGGCUCACUGGCCCGAUACUGACGCUGAGGUGCGAAAGCGUGGGGAGCAAACAGG